CGUACGGCUCAGUAACACGUAGUCAACCUGCCCUGGAGACAUGGACAACCCCGGGAAACUGGGAUUAAUCCGUGAUGGGUCAUCUCAUCUGGAAGGAGAGAUGGCUUAAAGGGGUACGCGGGCUUCUUCUGCGUAUUCGCUCCAGGAUGGGACUGCGUCCGAUCAGGCUGUCGGCGGGGUAAUGGCCCACCAAACCUGUAACCGGUACGGGCCUUGAGAGAGGUGGCCCGGAGAUGGACACUGAGAGAAGGGUCCAGGUCCUACGGGGCGCAGCAGGCGCGAAACCUUCGCAAUGCGCGAAAGCGUGACGAGGUUAAUCCGAGUGACUUCCGCUGAGGAGGUCUUUUGUCAGCUGUAAAUAGGCAGGCGAAUAAGGGGAGGGCAAGCCUGGUGUCAGCCGCCGCGGUAAUACCAGCUCCUCGAGUGGUCGGGGCGAUUAUUGGGCCUAAAGCAUCCGUAGCCGGUUCCGUAGGUCCUCUGUUAAAUCCAACCGCUUAACGGUUGACCUGCAGAGGAUACCGCGGGACUAGGAGGCGGGAGAGGCGGACGGUACUCCGCGUGUAGGGGUAAAAUCCUUUGAUCCGCGGAAGACCACCAGUGGCGAAGGCGGUCCGCCAGAACGCGCUCGACGGUGAGGGAUGAAAGCUGGGGGAGCGAACC
rnacentral:rRNA from 1 species